UCUAUAUAAAGUGUGCCUAUAUAACUGAAAUUCUUGGUUUAUGAGAAAUUUAUGGGUGAUUUUUUAUUUUUAUUUAAUAAAAUAAUAAAAUAUUAUUUAUAUAUAAUAAAAUAAUAAUAAAACAAAUCAUAUUAAUAUUUGAACUGAUAUUAAAUAUUCUUUUAUACCAUCAAAAUUUGCACUGUCGACUUCGCCUUCUCUGCCUUUUAAUCGAUAUCAAACCUCAAAUCGACGUUUGAUGGUGGAGUGACAUUGAUGAGAGCAGGCCCAACUAGAAGAAUAAUCCAUCUGAAUUAAUUCGAAAUCGGAAUGAGUGGCGGUGGAGAAGGACGGAACAGAGGUCCAAAUCAAGUCAUUAACCCGACAGAAGUACGUGUCUGCUGAGAAUGGUGGAGGCAUGAAUGUAACCGUGGAUAGAGAUUCACCUUCUUCCUGGGAAAUCUUUAAGCUAUGGAGAGUUUUCUAUACACAAUUUCAGUUCAGAACAUCUCAAGGACAAUUUUUGACGUGUACUGGUCUAGGAUGCUCUGUUUCUGCAACUGCUGGAUCUCCUUCAACUACAGAAACAUUUGAUGUUGAAAGGAACAAUGAUAGGGUUCACAUAAAAACGACUACUGGAGACUAUUUGCAGGCUACAUUAGGAGGUCAGCUUACAACAGACUUUUCAGGGAAGCCGGGAUGGGACAGUAAUGCAGCCACAUUUCAAAUGAUAAUCGUUUCAAAUAACUUGCACGGAGAUUAUCAGCUGGCUAAUGGCUAUGGACAUAAUGAGGCUAAACGGGUUCUUAAGAUCAUACGAUAUAAGAUGCAUUAUUGAUCUUCAUGCUGCGCCUGGCUCUCAAAAUGGCAUGGAGCAUAGUUCAAGUAGAGAUGGUUCAACAAACUGGCCGACUCCAGAUUACAUCUCACAAACAAUGCAUGUUAUAGAUUUUCUAGCCUCCAGUGACUAACAUCCAAAUUUCAAAGUUGACGAAAAACUCUGCAACUGAAUGAGGUAAAAACUACUAUAAUAUUUACUUUAUAAAACUUUCGUUUCGAUAUCUUAUUAUUAUUAACACCAUUUGAUUUUGAUGUAGAAAAAAUAUUUUUAGAUUGAGGUGGCAAUAAAAAUAACUGAUACUCUCCAGAAUUUUUAUUACAUGUCAUGUGACGCAUGUCAUAAAAAAAUAGAUUUAUACAAUCGAGAUGAAAAAAUCAUAUGUGACAAGCCAACAUGUGGCCAAGAAGGAUUUCCUACACCACGUGCUAUAGCAUAUGUUGAACUUGAUGACAAUACAAAGAGCCUAUCUGCUGUCAUGUUCGCAGAUAUUGUGGAAAAUAUAUUUUCGUGUAAUGCUGCCCAACUAAUGAAAUAUACUGGUGUAGUUUUUAAAAAAUUAAAUAGUUUUACAUGCCUUUCAUAUAGUUAAUUUUUUAAUUAAAUAAAUUAUGCACACCAUGUAUAAUCAUCUUAAAUGAAAAUACACCACUGUUUGUAGGAAUACCGCCGCUUUAUCGACACUACCAUAUUCAAUUUAUCAAAGAAAAAAUGGAUAAUCCAGAUAUAUGCGGACCCGACUAGAAUGAAAAGUGCAAUAUACAAAAAUUACACUACUGUCUCUAUCAAAGAAAAUGAAGAUUGAAAUCCACCAAUGACUAUCAUUAGUUUUCUUAUCUACAAUUUUUAGACUAAUGCUAUCUUCAAUUAUCAACAAUUUAGAGAUUGAUUUUUAAUUUUCUUUUUAUCUUACCCCUAUUUA